GACGAACGCUGGCGGCGUGCUUAACACAUGCAAGUCGAACGGAAAGGCCCUGCUUGCAGGGUGCUCGAGUGGCGAACGGGUGAGUAACACGUGGGUGAUCUGCCCCUUACUUUGGGAUAAGCCUGGGAAACUGGGUCUAAUACUGGAUAGGACCAUGCUGUAGGUGGUGUGGUGGAAAGAUUAGUUUCGGUAAGGGAUGAGCUCGCGGCCUAUCAGCUUGUUGGUGGGGUAAUGGCCUACCAAGGCGUCGACGGGUAGCCGGCCUGAGAGGGUGGACGGCCACAUUGGGACUGAGAUACGGCCCAGACUCCUACGGGAGGCAGCAGUGGGGAAUAUUGCACAAUGGGCGCAAGCCUGAUGCAGCGACGCCGCGUGGGGGAGGACGGCCUUCGGGUUGUAAACUCCUUUCAGCCAUGACGAAGCCCUUGUGGUGACGGUAGUGGUAGAAGAAGCACCGGCUAACUACGUG
rnacentral:rRNA from 1 species